AUUGAACGCUGGCGGCAUGCUUUACACAUGCAAGUCGAACGGCAGCGGGGUAGUGCUUGCACUACUGCCGGCGAGUGGCGAACGGGUGAGUAAUAUAUCGGAACGUACCGAGUAAUGGGGGAUAACCAAUCGAAAGAUUGGCUAAUACCGCAUACGUCCUAAGGGAGAAAGCGGGGGAUCGCAAGACCUCGCGUUAUUCGAGCGGCCGAUAACUGAUUAGCUAGUUGGUGGGGUAAAGGCCUACCAAGGCGACGAUCAGUAGCGGGUCUGAGAGGACGAUCCGCCACACUGGGACUGAGACACGGCCCAGACUCCUACGGGAGGCAGCAGUGGGGAAUUUUGGACAAUGGGGGCAACCCUGAUCCAGCCAUGCCGCGUGUAUGAAGAAGGCCUUCGGGUUGUAAAGUACUUUUGUUAGAGAAGAAAAGGGAAGUGCUAAUACCACUUUUUGCUGACGGUACCUAAAGAAUAAGCACCGGCUAACUACGUGCCAGCAGCCGCGGUAAUACGUAGGGUGCGAGCGUUAAUCGGAAUUACUGGGCGUAAAGCGAGCGCAGACGGUUACUUAAGCAGGAUGUGAAAUCCCCGGGCUUAACCUGGGAACUGCGUUCUGAACUGGGUAGCUAGAGUAUGUCAGAGGGGGGUAGAAUUCCACGUGUAGCAGUGAAAUGCGUAGAGAUGUGGAGGAAUACCGAUGGCGAAGGCAGCCCCCUGGGAUGAUACUGACGUUCAUGCUCGAAAGCGUGGGUAGCAAACAGG
rnacentral:rRNA from 1 species